UCUAUCAGAGCUGACUUUAAUGAACUCCACACACACAAAGCUAUAAAAUAAAACAACAACACUUUAUUUGCUAAGGGGAGAGGAAGGAAUGGAAAGGGGAAUGGAUUACUGAUUCUGGAGAUUCGGAAUAACACACAGGCACUUAUAAUACAAGAUGUUCUAUCUUUACAGACAUCAGCGAUAAAGGGGUGCAGGAUCCAGAAAAGAGAAGCCAGUAGUGAACACUGACCGUGGACAACAGAUGAAACAGACAGACGAACUAUUGCAAGAAGGUGUGGAUACAACAGUACAUUGAGAGCCGAGAAGGAAGGACUGUGCUGGAGUACUAAUUCUGAACAUGGCACUAGGUCUUUCAUGAACCCAAGGAGCUGAUAUAUUUCCAGAAACCCACCCCAUGGUACAUGCUCAGAUGGGAAGGGCUUGAACCACCCAACUAGAAGCAGAACACAGACAGAUGUUUUCCUCAGGAUGUUGCUAAGAAGAAUGGAGAUAGUAAGUCUAAAUCAGGAUCUGGCAACGGACAUUCGUGCUCAUCUCCUGCGGUAAUCGGAGCAUAGGGAAGGAUUCUCGUAUGGGGGGGAUCUUCUCAGUACGAAUAUCCCGAUUGACCAGACUUAGAGUCCAUCCCGCCAGCCGGGGAGAGGAUACCCUUCCCUCAUUAAUUCUUCCAGAGAUGACAUAUUUUACUGGAGUAUGGCAUGUCCUCACCACAAUGAGAGCUGUGCCACUUAAAUAUUCCCAAUGUGUUAGGGACCAUACCAGGGCGAAUACCUCACGUUCGCAAGCUGAAAACCUCGCCUCCACCUCACUGAGAGUUUUGGAACCAUAGGCCAUCGGUCUCACCUGGCCAAUUUGUUUUUGCAGCAAAACAGCUCCAGUGCUUGCUGGAGUAGUUGCCAGGUGCAAGUAAAAUGGCAGGCCUUGUUUAGGAGAGGCUCGCGCUGGUGCAGCCGCUAGAGCCUUUCUAAGAUCAUUAAAAAGGCACCUUUCACAAUUGGCAAGUCAAAUCCUAGUGAGGAAAAGACAAAGAAGCGUAAACUCUGGCAAGUCCAAUGAAAAGUAUAGGGCAGAGGCCAAAAAUGAACGUGAAGAGCAACUAGCCAAGGCACAACAACUAACAGCAAAGGGUUGUUCAGUACAUGGGAUCAGGGCCGGCUCCAGGCACCAGCCUACCAAGCACGGGCUGGGGCGGCA